UGUUUGAAGGGCCACAGCAUGAAAGCAAACAAUCCUGGUAGCACGUAAAUUGAAACAGUGCAAAAGUUUCUAAAAACUGUGACGGAAAGCCGGCUCUCCAAAGAGACUUUUGCUUUCGUGGCUUACCUUGGACAUGAGCUUCAGACCUCGUUCCACUCUGGGCAGCGGCUUUUUAUCCAAGAUCCCAGCCUCAUAGGGGGACACAAUGGCCGGGUUGAUGAAACGUAGGAACAUGGCACUACCCACUGCACCUAUGCUGUUCUGUGGGAACCGCUGACUCACAACCUGAAUGGAUAGGAACGUGUGGAGUGGAAAGUCUGGAUAUACUUUUCACAGAGGAGCAGUUUAUGCUGCUUUGAACGCACAACUACUGGACCUUGGAUGGUUUGCAUCAUUUGAAAAAACCAUCAACAAGAUGGAAACGUUUUGGAAACCCUCGUUUUGGAGGCAUUUCAAGGAAAACACAGAAGAUACUAAACAAGCAGACCACGCUCUGUGCUCAGCUAAUCUGUCAAGAGGACGGGGUGGAAGCAGGGUACCCAAUAUAAUAUUUGAAUUAAGUGUUUACUGCUUUCAUUUUUAGACCACCAAUAAAGAAAGCAACACAAAUUCUUCUCAUUUUAGCUUUUAGUAGAGCUGCGUUUAUUCUCAGCCUAAUGAACAUCUGCACCUCAGUUUCUUUCCCUCCUCAACAGGCUAAGCUGUCUAUUCUAUUUAGACUAGACAGAUGAACACAAUUUUAUCAUGCACUCUCUUUUGGUUUUCUCUGUUUAUUGUAGACCUAAUAAUUAUACCACAGAAGCCCGACCUUAACAAAAAGCAAAUAAUUUUGGCCUGAACUGGCCAAAAAUCGGAGAACAGGACACGACUGAUUUUUGUUUUUGUUUUUUGGUCAUGUCUAUCAAAAUGACAGACAACAAAAAAGUCUAGUGCAACCUCUGGGUGAGAUGCCCUCUCCUUACUGGAGACAUAGAACUCUGAAAAAGUUCAAAAUCUUACACAUCAAAUUCUUUUUCUUUUAUUUUUUUUACUGCAACGUGUAACAUCAACAUCUAAUGGAUUUGCACUUUGUGUGGCCUGGUUGAUUUGCUUCAAAUGACCUAACUGACUUUUUCUUUUCUGCAACAUUUUUAAAAUUCACAUGAUAAUUGGAUGGAAAAAUAGCUCUGAUCUUCUAGGCUCUGAGAAACUAAUUUUGUAUUUUCAAGUAUCUUUAACAAUGACUAACACUAAUUAUUGGAAAAUGAACAGACAACAUAUUUGUAAAAAUCUAUUUUUUUGUAGAAGAAUGUAACAAUUGGUGCUUUCCAGGUGAAUUUAAACUUAUGAAGCAGCACAUAUAUUCAGACCCAUCCUGCUUCAGUCGGACAUUUUUUAAGUCCCGUGUUCUCAUGCUGCUACCUCAAAAAAAAAAAAAAGAUUCACUCACCGCAUCAGCAUAAAUGAUUUGAUCAAACUUGCAGUAAACACUGAAGGAUCCAAGUUUUGCAAAUAAAUGCUCCGACCAUUUGUCAAUUUUGUAAACAGCUUCAUUACUCAUUAUUGUAGCAACACCUCAAGUCACUAACUAUGUAAAGACUUCCACUACUUUCAUUCCGCUUCUGGUUGAAGACUGCAACUCUCUACAACCCUGACCAACUGGUCAGACUGACAGACUGAGUCUCUAUCAAUGCUUGGGACUGAUUUCCACUGUUGCCGUAUUCAACAAAACUAUUUGUAAAAAAAGAAAAAUAAAUAAUAACUUGCAAAUGCUCAGUAUUCAUCUUAUAUAUGUACUGCAUAUCCAUGCAGAGUUCCUAAAAUGAGGAAGUGCACGGCCAGGCACUCCAACGCCGGGAGUCAGGCUGGUGGAGUCAGUGGCAAAACACUGGUUUUUGGAUGAAACCAAGGUCGUAUGUACUUACUGCAAUGAUGAAUUAUCCUUUCACUGAAGCACAACCAGUUCAUAGUUGACAUUUCUAAUUACAUUUGAAACAGUGACUUCUCUUAAACCGUCCAGAAUAGAAAACCUGGAAAACUGACAUGUUUGGUUUGAGACAAUGAAAAAUGUUCUUUAACAUUUUCAGAACAAUAUGCAUUUUUACAUUUCAAGCUUACAGAGUUAACUGUGAUUAGUCACAGCACUAGAGUGUGAUUAAUCCGAUUUAAUUCUUUAAUCGAUUGACAGCACUAAUAUCUGUCAGCAGGGCUUUUCCAACAUGGCAGGAACGUCUAUGAAUAUGGAGAUAUAUCUAUGCAUCUACACACAUGCAUAGGAGGAUGGAUUUCCUUUAAACGCCGUUUUAUAAAGUGGAAUUAUUGCGCAGGCUUUUUUGUUGUUACUAGUCCAGUUGUGGCUGAAAAGUUCACAAAGGUCACUGAAGUAAAUUGAAACUGGUAAAAGUAAUAAAAAUUUACUUAAGAUUCACCUGUGAAAAUCAGAUGAUUUUGAAAUGUGUUUCAACAGUCAUUUAAAAAAAGUUUGAAUGAAAAACAAAAUAGACUGACCUACUGAUCUUUAAGGAUGUGUAUGGAUUAAUAGAGAAUCAUUAUCCAAUCGCAGUUCUUGUUUACUUAUUUUAAAGAAUAAACUGGAACAAGACUGAUAAUACCAUUCAGUGCAGAUAAUAAAACUAUUAAUUGGUUCUUCGCACUGUGACAAGAACUGGUCCUAAGCACUCAGAACGAUAACUACAUGAGGGGAAAUGAAUGAAGAGCAGAAAUACCAUUGGGGCUAAUUGGCCUGUUUCUCUAGAGUUGAAUAUUUCUUCUGAAGAAUCCACAUAAGCACUUUAGCACAUGAGAAAAUACAUUAAUAUGCACUGCAUCCAGGAAGUACUCACAGACCUUCACCUUUUAAACCACCUGCCAGCAUGGUGGUGCUUGGACAAAUCAAUAUUUACUACUGUGGUACGUUUUACAAAUAUGUUUGAGAACAACUGCACUAUACCAAUAUUCAGGAAGCCUAUUCACAAUAGUCUCUUCCAAACUGAAACCAUCUACACCACUGACACAUGGGGAAACAAAAUUAAAUCUGGUGGUCGGAUGAUUCAGUGGUGUAGGAGGAGGAUGGAGGUACCAGUGUUCCAGCUUCAACAUUCAGCAGAACUUUGCCAGCGUGGCAGAAACAAGCCACAAACGCUGAUGAGGCUUUACACAUCAGUGGAAGGCAAAUUAUGGCACUGAGAUUCCAAACAACUUGGAUGUUUUACAGCAGCAGAAACUGGGAGACUAGUUGGGAUAGAGGGAGGGAUGAACGCAGCAAUGUACAGAAAUGUCCUGUAUGAAAACCUGUGGCUUGGCAGGAUGACGACACAAAGCACCUGGCCAAGAUCUCACAGGAAUAGCUUCAGAACCACUCAGGAAAAAACAAAGCAAUGAACAAAGUCAUUCCAUUUUUAAAAAUGGACUGAUAUGUAAACGUGAUUGUCCCAGAGUUGCAAAGUCCAGAAUUGAAUCUGACUGAACAUUUCUGAAGAGACGCCCCAUCCAAACCGACGGGAGUCCAACUAGAGUGGAUGGGGCUAACAGCAUAACAAUGCAAGUACGGUACACCUUCUCAAAGAUCAAUAAGCUAAUUUUGAAAGAAUAUAACACUGCAAUUGGACGACAUUUUAUAUAUCCUAAAUACACAAACAAACCAUAAAUAAAUGAAAUGGAUUAUGAAGUCUCUGUAAGAAAAUUUGACCUUCAAAAUAUAUUCAUCUUUGGUUUGAUACACAGGAGGGACGCCGCUUCCUCUCCGUUUUGCACAUUGAAGCAACAGUCGCUCGCCCUCCAAAAUAAGAUGGAGGGUUAGAUUAGCUAAAGAUAAAAGGUUUGUUCAGUAACUAGCAGAAUAUACCACAUUUUAUCGUUAAAUAAGAGUUGACAGCUAAUUCCAAAUCAAACUCAAAACUAUGAAAAAUAUCAAACUAAUUUAACUGACAAACAACAGUCCAAUUCCACAUUACAACAAGAAACACAGACCAGACUCAUGUUUUCUAACACUGUUAGUGGUUAUUGUUCACAAUAACCAGGUUUCAGUCUGAUUUUAAAAUUAAAAUAAAGCCACUCACAAAGUCAUUUCUUUUUAAAAAAUGGUAUAUAAAUGAAAAAUCAUCAUUGUCUUCAUACAACUAAACCUUUGCAGACUGGAGCACUAAACCAUAUUAAAGAAUCACAAACAGCAAGGAAGUUUUUUUUUAAUUUCUCAGCUGAUAGGAAAUGAUGUCUUUAAGAAAAGUUCAGUACUUUCUGGCAGGUUAAGGCAUGCAGCUUUGCGAGUGAGGGUAAGAUGGAGACAUAGUUCAGUCAUCAGAUGAAGCAGCAUGAAAGCAAUGCAGACAAAAUGCAUUACAAUGUCUCCUGGAGCACCAACAGACACCAGAGAGGUAACAGUGAGUGCAAUUUCCCAAGA